CGCAAAUGUUUCUCUGUCCUCUCCACCCCUGAGGUGGGACAGGAUGGCUAGCAUAGGCUGGAGUUGGUUAAUUCCCUUCCCCUGGGUCUGUAAGGAUCUGAAAAAACUCCAGUAGUUUAGACUCUGAUAAAAUAGUUUCUUUUGAAGGCAAGCAUGGUUAAGAAGAACAUAGUGCUCUGGUGUAUUUCAAAAUGGUUCCUUUUUCCCUACCCCUGCUGGAAGCCUGAGGGGACUUUUCUUCAACAUUCACUGUGAUAAUCAAGCUGAGCUACUGGAGAUAAAACUCAUAAAAGUGUGGGGACCGUGCUAUAACUGGAUCCCCUGAAGUUUGGAACCCUUAGACUUGUCUUUAUGAGACGCCAUCAAAUUGUCAAUUAUGGUUUGGUUUUCCUGCUGGUUCUGGUUCCCACGGAGGUUUCUGCUUAGGCUGGUCUCUCAAUUGGCUGCUUGGGCUCCCUGUGUCAAGGUGCCUGGGUUCCAGGAGUGAGCAUCCCAAGAAAAUCAGAACCUUGGAAGGUUUUCUGUCCUUUUGCUGUGACUAUUAUCUGGUGGAAUGCAGAUUGCUGUUCUCUGAAGACUUGACCUUUUCCGCAUCCGGGCACCUGAUUGAAGUUCCAUGGUCUCCUCAUCUGCAAGCUUUGGCCCUUCUCAGCUGGAGAAGCCAGGGGGUCCUCCAGGGAACACCUACGUGGUCAGAUGUAGUCUCACUUCUUGAGGGAGAAUGGGAGGGAAUAAUGGCAAGAAGAAAAGUCUGUACAUGUUCAGGACAGAUGGAACCAUCCUGGGCCUUUCCAUCUGUGGUUGGUUGAAUCUGAGGAUGCGGAAUCGGAGAAUGGAGGUUGCAAAGAGAUUCAAACAAUUUUGAACCAACACUCAAAAAUCAUGAGCUGUAAGGUCAGAAUCCCAAUUCUCAAGGUUCAUUUGGAAAAUUGGAAGAGCUGCACACUCAAAGCCAGCAUUUUCACAUCGCAAUAAUUGUGUAGGGCUGAUCAUUGGCUACUCUCUAGUUGACCACAAUUCUCGUGACUUCCACUUGCUUCUUCCCUCUGACACUGAAAUUAAACAAUAUUUCCAUUUGUCAUUGUGUUUACAAAAUUUCUUUUAAGAAAUACAUAGUAUUUUUCUGUACGCUUCUCUAACAAAAGUAAAUUUAUAAAAGUUAGCCUAAGAGGGUUGAGUGUUUCAGGAAAAUUGAAGAACAUAUUAUUUGAUGAAAGUGAAUAGUGAUUUUAUGUGUUUAACAUGCAAACCAAAUGUGUCUAUGUUAAAACCCCAGAAUUUAAGGGACCAUUUCUAAACAGACCACAGCAAUAAUGAUAAACUACAUGAAGAAAAGAUACAUCUUGAAAAACUUAAUGAACUGCAAGGAAAAGACUAAAAUUUUAAGAAGGUUUAUUUUUUAAUGCAAAUAAGCACUGCUACUCUGAAAAGCAGUUACAUCAUGAACGGGAAGAAAAUUGUCAUAAAUCAGUACUUUUUGAAAAUGGUUAAUUUAGAGAUGCUGUUAUUAAAUGAAAAAAUUACAUACAGAAGAGUAACAAACACUGGUGAAUACAAGGCUAAUUGAAAUAACUGUUUGUUGCCCAGAAGGUUGAAAAUAUCAAGUAGGGAUGAGCACAUAUAGUUCAUAUUCAGUAAAGAAAAAGUUACCCGAUUUGUACUGUCCUCACCUGCUGCUGAUGUCAUGUAUUUGUGAUGCCUUAUCAAUGGAAUUAUGAUGUGACAAGGAACUUAGGACUUGAGGUAUAUGACUGGGACACACUCAUGAAAUGAUUCCGUGUUUGGGCGUGUGUGUUGCAUGUGUGCCUAUGUAUGCAUGUUUGUGGGCUCAUUCUGGAAAGGUUUAACAUAAAAUUGCCAAGGGAAAUGACUAAAGGCAAUGCUUCAAAGAUAAUCAGUUAAUUCAAACUUAAUAUUAUUCUUAAAUCCUCUUUCGAAAAAUUUAGCAAUGAUGCACUAGUUACCCUCAUUCAGUUAAUCAUUCACCAUGAUCUGCUUUAACUAAGAAUUUAAAAUGGAAUUCCUGCUGUAUACAAUGAUUAAGCCAGUCACCUGCAUACAUUUCCAUGGCUUCAACCAUUGUCUACUGAACUAUCUGGAUGUUAAGUAAUUUGUCAUUUGAUACUGAACAGAUUCUUUGAAAUGUAAAACACAAUGAGUUUAUGUUAUCUAAGAUAAAAAUUCAUCUUAGCUCACAAGCAAAGACGGGAUCAUGAGAAUGUCUCUUUCUUAUUACUAUGCAUCAUCUAAACAUCUUAUAAAAUACAAUGUAGGAUAAGAAUAGGAACAGUCAGAUAUGAUUUGCUUACCCAAUUUCUUGUGAAAUUAUGCCUUUGGGAAACCCCUUCAUCAGAGAUUAACCUGGCCGGACAUCACCUUCACAUUCCAGGGUUGCUUGAAUGGCAUUCCUAAUAUUGUGGAGUGAGGAAAAAAAUGUUAAAAAAAAAAAAAAAGAAAGAAAAGGAGAAAAAGUAGUCUCAGAAUUAAAACAGGUGACAAUGACCUCACAGUAUUCAAUCAUAUGGCUAAGUGAGUCCAGAGCUGGAGUUAGAAGCUAGUUCACUGUGGUGCAGUCUGGUUCCAAACAUGACAUGCAACAAUGUCGAACUAUCUGAAUUUUACAGAUAAUUUCCCGACAGUUAUUCUAAAUAUAAAAGCUGUGAUGUGAAGAUUUUGUGUACGGAAGCACUUUUGUUUGUAAAUAUGUUUUCCAGUCAGAAACUAAAAGUAAAUAUUGCUGCCACUUGAGAGACUGAAAGCUGAGUUCUGUGCACUGUGCAACACCACGAGAGCAUGAGACCUGAGCUCGACAGCUGACGCAGGGUUUCAGGUUGACUUUACAAAUCAGAGGAAAUGAAAGUGAUGG
rnacentral:lncRNA from 1 species